CCCUGAAGGCGCACGGUGACAGGAGAUGCUGCGAACUUGGCCCGGCCUGCGGGGGAGGAACCUCCUCGAGGGUGCUUUCCUGGGAAUCCACAAUGGUAACAAAUGGCCCCUUGUCUAAAAAGCUAAGCGGUCCACUGUGUAAGCACCCAGGCCACGCUGCAUUAGCAGGGUUCUGAGAAAAGGGGGCCAGCCAGGCCCACUUCCCAGAGUCUUUAUCCACAUGCCCAGGCUCUUACGUGGUGGACACAAGGUCCAGCCAAGGCCAACAACAAGGUAGGCGGCAAGGGCACUGUUGACAAGCCUCCAGGGCUACGAAGGAGACAAAACACAGGAAGCACUGGGAUGGCCUCCGACGGCACGAAUAACAGCACCAAGCAGGGCUCCACCUCCCGCCCCUCCCAGAGACCUUGACAAGAAGAUGCAGACGCGGCAUCCGCCUUCCUCUGUUCCCGCUGGUGUCAGAAAAUGCAGA